rnacentral:rRNA from 1 species
CAGCCGCCGCGGUAAUACGUAGGUGGCAAGCGUUGUCCGGAAUUAUUGGGCGUAAAGGGCUCGCAGGCGGUUUCUUAAGUCUGAUGUGAAAGCCCUCGGCUCAACCGGGGAGGGUCAUUGGAAACUGGGAAGCUUGAGUGCAGAAGAGGAGAGUGGAAUUCCACGUGUAGCGGUGAAAUGCGUAGAGAUGUGGAGGAACACCAGUGGCGAAGGCGACUCUCUGGUCUGUAACUGACGCUGAGGAGCGAAAGUGUGGGGAGCGAACAGGAUUAGAUACCCCUGUAGUCCCUGUCUCUUAUAC